rnacentral:rRNA from 1 species
UACGUAGGGGGCAAGCGUUAUCCGGAAUUAUUGGGCGUAAAGAGUGCGUAGGUGGUUACCUAAGCGCAAGGUUUAAUCUUGAGGCUCAACCUCAUUUUGCCUUGCGAACUGGGCUACUUGAGUGCAGGAGGGGAAAGCGGAAUUCCUAGUGUAGCGGUGAAAUGCGUAGAUAUUAGGAAGAACACCGGUGGCGAAGGCGGCUUUCUGGACUGUAACUGACACUGAGGCACGAAAGCGUGGGGAGCAAACAGGAUUAGAUACCCGCGUAGUCCCUGAG